UUCAUCAUCCCCUCCUAUCAAACACAAACCCUAACCCUUCAUAACAGCACGGCAACAACAGCAACAAUACCGGCAAUACGAACAACAGCAACUCACAAGUAUACCAGGUAAGCGUAAGAGUAGAAGACAACUUUUGGUUUGUGCUGUUGCUUAUGUUUGUGGCUGUUUCAAAACCUUGUUAUGAUGGGUACUGUAGCAUCAAUGGACUUGUACUGUUUACACAUAUUUCAAAUUGCAAUUAA
rnacentral:lncRNA from 1 species